UACGAAGGGGGCGAGCGUUGUUCGGAAUUACUGGGCGUAAAGGGCGCGUAGGCGGUCCUUCAAGUCAGGCGUGAAAGCCCCGGGCUCAACCUGGGAACCGCGCUUGAGACUGGCGGACUCGAGUUCGGGAGAGGAUGGUGGAAUUCCCAGUGUAGAGGUGAAAUGCGUAGAUAUCUGGAGGAACACCGGUGGCGAAGGCGGCAUCCUGGACCGGUAUUGACGCUGAGGCGCGAAAGCCAGGGGAGCAAACGGG
rnacentral:rRNA from 1 species